CCAUACCGUUCCUUUGCAGAUAGCGGGGAGCCAUUCAGAGCCCGGCGUUUCCUUGUUGUUGCAAAAAUGUGUUUAGACCCAACCUACCUUAUCCACCAAUCACAGGAGAGCGUUUCCUCCCACUGUAUCUCUAGCUCAUCCACGGUUUCACAAGGAGAAGGUAAAAGAUUUACGUUUUUUAACACGAAGAGACAGUAAACAGUCGACUGUAUUGUAGCCUUCCUACCUGCCGCCAUGUUUUUACUUGCGGGUAGUACUUAAGAACCUAUUUUAGGUUAUAUUAAAUAUUGUGUUAGACCCCAUUGCUGUUCGUUUUAUGCUGAAGCUUGUUUUCAGUUGCUAUACUACCAGUUACAAAAUGACACUAACGACCUGAAACGAUGAGAUAAGAUUGUGAAUUAUUUAAGUGGAGAAGAUUUCCUACCAUAAUAAAAUUUCUGAAAAGUCAGUACAAGUAAGAGCUGGAAAUGGAUGAGGGAGCCAUCGUCGGAGUAGAUUAUUCCAUCUGGAACCUCCUGAAAUCCACAGCCUACAGCCAUCCUGCUCAGGAAGAGCAACGAUGAUGUUAAGCUUGGACUUUGCUUCACUUUUUUGACAGUGAUAUCAUUUAGCUUUGACUUGCUGUUAAAAGUGUAGAGAGUGUGGCGUUUUCAGUCGAUUUUAAAAAGUCUUUCUCACCUUGUUUCACGGCAAAUGAGGUGUAGAAUUAUCCUGACAAAUGCGGGCAUGGCAGAUACGAAAACAUCAUUUAGACAAGUUAUGAUUUGUGAGUACGAACACAACAAUAUGCUCUUACCCUAAAGGGAAAUUUUCUCUUAUUGUCUACCUUCUGCUGCAGGGGGUCUCCAUCAUCCUAAUGAGGUAGGCUCUCCUUUACUAUCGAAAAGCGUAAAUUGAGAUCCUUUCUUGUGCCGUUUAGGAUGCAGCGGCAUUAAUAGCCUCGUACACAUAAUGAAGAUAAAGAAAGAUCAGUUUUAUUUGUACUCUGCAGCAAUAAAAGUAAAUUUCUCGUUCUUUCCACAGGCGAAUACUGAGCAGCUCCAUUCAGAGUUCAGCCUCCCCUCUCUCUUCUUCUGUGGUGCUCUAAAGGAGAGAUUUAAAUUUGCAAGUAUUCAUCAACAGAUUUCUUGAAAUCAAAACUUGUUGACAUGCAUUAGACGUCCUGAGCCUCAUCCUCAGGCUUACAGCAUUUUUUUUUCUCCCUUCUUUGUGUUUUGCAGCAGAUAUUAAAGUUUUUUUUGUGUACCGAUGAUUAUCCCGACUGGUUGCGCUUAUUGCUUAAGAAGAGGAAACAACGGGGACAGUUGAUUUUUAUAGCCUGUGUCUGGUGAACAUGUUUAACGGCGAACGUCACAGAUUUACCUCUCCGUUACUUCGCUUUGACUUUUACAGUUUACUGGGCUAUAAAAUAAAGUGUUUUGAAUCAGUAGCUUGGUUUUUGUUCAAAUUUAGUCGCCUUAGUCAGUUGACAAAUUUCCAGUGUUUUAAACGAUUUUAUAUUGUCCAAUUGAAGCACCAAACUGUAGUUUGCAUAGCAUGUCCCUUUUUUUUUUUUAAUCAAUCAACAUUACUUCAGAUGUAGAUUUUUAUAUCUUUAGAAUACCAUGUCAUGAUGAGACUUUUCCACUUGCUUUACUAUCUUGUCAUAAAAAACUCUGACGGGCUUCCAUACAAACAUGCAUCAGCUGGCAUCACAGAAGGCACAGACAACUUAUCAAUUCUUUUCAUUACAUCCUAAGGUUUUUCUUUUGCUUUUUUCCUGUUUAUCUGCAUGUUUUUAAGCAAAUUAUUCCUUUUAAAGGAGUUUACUUGUAUGCUGUCCCCAGAGAUUACCAAUGCUUAGCUGAUCAGCUCUGGUCUUGCGCCUUUUGUGAUGUUAUCAAACCUAAUCUAAUCAUACCAGAUUUUUUUUUUUUUCCGGUUUGGUACGAUUAAGAACUGUAUUUUGUGAAAUCCUGCAGUACAAAUCCGUACUUCUUUUAUUUCCAGUUUUAUUGUCAGUGAAAACAAAAAUAUACACCAUUGGACACUAUUUUUAAUGAAAACAAGAACAUGUGCAGAAGACGUUUUCUCAGCGUUUUAUUGGGAGCUUUCAGGCACAAACAGGAGAUGAUGAACAUUACGCUGCGUUUAUGUCAAGAUCGAAAUGAUGUAACUUUCAAGUGUUUCAAGCGAGCUUUUUCCCUCUCACCGUGACAUAAGUUAAUAACAUGCUGUCAAUAAAUUACGUAAACAGAGCUUGCUAUUAACUAAACUGUGCCGGAAGUCAAAAAGAAAAAAACAUACAUACAGGUCACACCUACUAUUGAAAUCCUCGUCAAUUCGCUGACGUAUAUUUGUUUGUAAUUUUUCUUCUUAGAAACCGGGAGCAAAAAGCAUCUCUCAUGUGAGUGGGCUAAUUAAACAGGUAGACCGUUAAGGAAUGGAGGUCACUUUAUCUGUAGACCUUGCUCCACUCAGAGGGAGUCAAUAAUCACUGCUGACACGUCCCGGGGGCCUCUCAGUGUUCUGCAUUCAUUCAUACAGGUUCAGAGAUAAGUCAUAAGGCUCCAAGUUGCGUUCUUACAGAACUGGUGAAAGUUACUGUUCCUUAAAGUGAAAUACCGUCUACCAUCUCUGAGCAGGUGCAAGUGGAGUAAAGAAAGGCAAAGGCAGGUUCUUGCCUAGAUUUUUUUUUUUUUUUUUUUUUAGGGUAAAUGUUUUGUUUUAUGAUCUUGGUCCCCCCCCCCCCUCUACAUUAAGGCCACUCAAUGCAACAGGUAUAGUGACAAUAGCUUAGCAUCUGUAGAGAGGAAUGUAAAAACUGGGAAGGGAGUUGUGUUGUUUGGAGUGUAUUUAGAAAUUUGAUGCAGAGGUUAAUGAAAUCCUUCACAAUUGAUAGAAUUUGAAUAGUUUGCAGCUGAGAAAGUAAAUAAAGUCAAGGACCAGAUCUAUAUUUUAAAUCCAGAUUAUCCCCUACGUUCCAACAAUUUCGUUGUAACAAAAGUAAACAUUAAACAUAUACGUAUACUAAGAGCUACGGACAAGACUUUUUCUGACAGCAGGAAACCAUCGAAAACACUGCAAAUGUUGGCUUAAAACAAAAACUGGUGAGAGAUAAAGAUAAAAACAUCACUUCUGCUCUGAUUGUGUUGAAAUAAUAGACGUGUUAUUCUGUAUGCUUUGCUGGUCUUCUUUUAUAACAGAAAUACUUUUAAUAUGGCGAUACAGACCGAAAUCUAACAUUUGAGGCAUGUAAAAUGAGAAAUUUAAUUGUAUCAUGAAAACUAGAUAUUGAAAGGGGUUUAUAACAUUUUUUUUUUUUUUCAAAUUAAAAAUGGUGCUUGGAUGCCUCACAAAAGCUUUAUUUUGCCUUUGUUUUCAACAAUAAGCUAAAUUGUGUCAACCUGGGAAAGUCAUUUGCCAUAAAUUUGAGAAUAUGCUUACAAUGACUUUUAUGCAAACCAAAAGGUAAAAAAACAAAGAAUUAUCACAGCACAUAAAGGCUUUCUGGAUCCAAACAAACUUGUGAAAACUGCCUAAAUACUUGCUUUCAUAUUUCUUAAGAGUAAAAUUCACACCCUAUUACCCUUAAAACUUUUGCAUAAUUUUUAAGUUUCAGAUCCUGUGAACAACUGCUUCACAUCUAUUCAAACAAAAACAAUUAAAUGCAUUCCAAAUUCUUUAAAUUGUGCAUUUAAAAUCCCAAUAUUCGCUGCCUAUUUCAUAUUUGGCAGCUUGACACAAAACAGUAUUUUUUAAAUAUUAUUCUUUUGGGUGUGACAAUGCAAAAACUGAUUACAUUUAAGGUAUUUA